GAUGAAGAACGCAGCAAAAUGCGAUAAGUAAUGUGAAUUGCAGAAUUCAGUGAAUCAUCGAAUCUUUGAACGCACCUUGCGCCCGCCAGUAUUCUGGCGGGCAUGCCUGUUCGAGCGUCAUUUCAACCAUCAAGCCCCGGGCUUGUGUUGGGGAUCUGCGGCUGCCCGCAGGCCCUGAAAACCAGUGGCGGGCUCGCUGUCACUCCGAGCGUAGUAGCACUCGUAUCUCGCUCAGGGCGUGCCGCGGGCUCCGGCCGUUAAACCGCCUCUUUAGCACCCAAAGGUUGACCUCGGAUCAGGUAGGAGGACCCGCUGAACUUAAGCAUAUCAAUAAGCGGAGGA
rnacentral:misc_RNA from 1 species